rnacentral:lncRNA from 1 species
CAAACAGAUCUCUAAGUUUGAGGCCACCCUGGUCUACAGAGAGAGUUCUAGAAUAAUCAGGGCUACACAGAGAAACCCUGUCUCAAAAACAAACAAAGAAACAAACAAACAAAAGGCUGUAGAGUAGACUGUCAUGACCUCACUAUUUUCAUUAUCCUAGCUUAUGAUUUCAGAUUCAUUUGCUCACACGAUCACGCAGCUUUAGAGCAGCCCACGCGAAAAACCAGAAGAAGAAAGCGCUCCAACCUCUCUGUUGCCAUCAGAGCUGGGAAUAAAGUAAGUCAGGGGACUCAUUCACAUUAUAAAAGUGUUUUCCUCUCCAAUGAUCACCUUAGGAGUCAAGGUCACAGCUAUGACAGUGUUAUUGUUGCUUAGCAGAUGGCUGGGUUCGUGUCACAUUACAAGAUCUUUCAUUUCUUCAAUUAAACGAGUGGGAAUGGACACCACGCGGCAUCCCAUCUUAUGAUGUCAGUAAAUCUCAUUAUAAUUACACCAAGCUGUUGACAAAUGGCUUGCCGGAGAGCCACGGAUAAUUUUAGGUCACCCGCUCACAGAAUGCCAAUGACAGAUGGAAUGGUUUCAAGGCUUUUGGCCACUGGCUAAUAAAGAAAGACCGCGGAUGUCACCCGUUUUCAUUCAUGUCUCGCCAGCUCUUGAGCAUUCAGACGCUUCUACGAUGGAUGCAUGGGGCAUAAAGCCGGAGACAGAGGUGAACAGUGUGGUCUCACACUGUAUAUGCACUUCCUUCUUCUCAGAGAUAGAGAGGUCUAGCCAGAGGCCCUCGUGAGAGCAGAGAGCGGUGGGGAACAUAUUCAGAGAACAAACAUCACAGGCUAGCCCAAAUGCUGGGAGCAGGGGCCUAGCAAACACAGAAGUGGAUGCUCACAGUCAGCUAUUGAAUGGAUCACAGGGCCCCCAAUGGAGGAGCUAGAGAAAUUACUCAAGGAGCUAAAGGGAUCUGCAACCCUAUAGGUGGAACAACAUUAUGAACUAACCAGUACCCCGGAGCUCUUGACUCUAGCUGCAUAUGUAUCAAAAGAUGGCCUAGUCGGCCAUCACUGGAAAGAGAGGCCCAUUGGUCGUGCAAACUUUAUAUGCCCCAGUACAGGGGAACGCCAGGGCCAAAAAGUGGGAGUGGGUGGGUAGGGG